CCUACGGGAGGCAGCAGUAGGGAAUCUUCCGCAAUGGACGAAAGUCUGACGGAGCAACGCCGCGUGAACGAUGAAGGCCUUCGGGUCGUAAAGUUCUGUUGUUAGGGAAGAACAAGUGCUAGUUGAAUAAGCUGGCACCUUGACGGUACCUAACCAGAAAGCCACGGCUAACUACGUGCCAGCAGCCGCGGUAAUACGUAGGUGGCAAGCGUUGUCCGGAAUUAUUGGGCGUAAAGCGCGCGCAGGCGGUUUCCUAAGUCUGAUGUGAAAGCCCCCGGCUCAACCGGGGAGGGUCAUUGGAAACUGGGAAACUUGAGUGCAGAAGAGGAAAGUGGAAUUCCAAGUGUAGCGGUGAAAUGCGUAGAGAUUUGGAGGAACACCAGUGGCGAAGGCGACUUUCNGGUCUGUAACUGACGCUGAGGCGCGAAAGCGUGGGGAGCAAACAGGAUUAGAUACCCUGGUAGUCCACGCUGUAAACGAUGAGUGCUAAGUGUUAGAGGGUUUCCGCCCUUUAGUGCUGAAGUUAACGCAUUAAGCACUCCGCCUGGGGGAGUACGGUCGCGAGACGUGAACGUACAACGUAGAGUUAGUACGGCGUGAGACGUCGCCGACGGACGACGACGAGGGAGGUUAGG
rnacentral:rRNA from 1 species